rnacentral:lncRNA from 1 species
CGCUGUGCCGUGGAUUGUCCCUUAAAUGCGAGGCUGAGUAGGAGCAGAUUCCAUAUUGGCAUAUCUGUCAAUACAACCUUUGGGAUUGGGCCUUUGGACACCUUUUCUAUCAACUGGCUUCUCGCGAUUUCUUAGCCACCUCAUUCUCUUCCCGUGACCUCUUACUGAUUUGGGGAUGGAGCCUUGGGGAAAUGUUUUACAGAUGGAGGAUAUGAAGGUGCUGAAAAACACACAUUGCUGUUUCUCAAUGCUGCCAGAAGCUUGAAAAUGCCCAACAACCCGGAAAAGGCGACGUGGAGUCCAGAAGCCAAAUUGACAAGCUAAAGAAGCAGAGUGGGUUUUUGGCUGCCAAGCUUAUCAAGCCUAGGGACUCCAAUACAGCAGAGCACGAGAUGGUGGUUACUUUGGAAGAGAACAGCCCACUCUAUGAAUGGGAAUCAUGAGAGCUACAAGGAGCUGGCCUGGAGGUAGAUGGGGCUCAAGUACUGUACCCCAAAAUAUAAAUUGACCAACAGCAGGUAAGGGGUGGGUGGGUGUUUCCUAAUCAGAGAUCACAAUACUCCAGGAGAGGUGAGGGGUGAAGAUAGGAGGGGCCAGCAUCUCAGUGGCUGUAGAUCUGCAGAGCUCACUGGGAGACCAGUUCAGUUCAGUCUGUCCCCAAGUCUCACUUCUACCCAGUGAGGCACUGCUGCCUCCCAGAGCAGCUGACACCAGUAACUGGAGGAAGAUGUCUUAAUUGCCA